UACGAAGGGGGCUAGCGUUGCUCGGAAUCACUGGGCGUAAAGCGCACGUAGGCGGAUUGUUAAGUCAGGGGUGAAAUCCUGGAGCUCAACUCCAGAACUGCCUUUGAUACUGGCGAUCUCGAGUCCGGGAGAGGUGAGUGGAACUGCGAGUGUAGAGGUGAAAUUCGUAGAUAUCGCAAGAACACCAGUGGCGAAGGCGGCUCACUGGCCCGGUACUGACGCUGAGGUGCGAAAGCGUGGGG
rnacentral:rRNA from 1 species